AAACAAUGUAUUGUAUCCGAAUUGUGGCGAUUCUCCGUUCCUAUCAAAUUUGUUAGUUUCGAAUAUGGCCUCAAACAAGUGGCUACAUU